rnacentral:lncRNA from 1 species
AGGCUCUCCUUACUCAGAGAGUAAGGUUCUAAUUAAAUAACCACUUUUAAUACUUUCCUAGACACCAAUUGGAACAAUUAAUCAAAUAUGGCUAGCUCAAUGUAUCAUUCACUCUUGACUGAUUGAGGAGAUUUAAUUUAGGCCUCGAUUAUGGUUUAUAUCUUAUGUAAAUGUCAUAUUAGUUUAGCCCUUGUUCACAUCUUAUGUGAAUAUGAAACUUUUGUUAUAUAUUUACAUCUUAUGUAAAUGACAUAUUUGUUUCGGUUUACAUCUUAUGUAAAUGACCUAACCUAUUUAGAUUUUUAUUCACAUCUCAUGUAAAUAAAAAUAUUCAUAAAUAUCAAUAUGCAUCUUGUGCAUAUAUCAAUUUAUAUGCUAAUCAUAAGCAUAAGCAAAAACAGGUAUAUAACUUGUGAUGAUCAUGGAUCCAUGAUUAGGUCAUAAGUCACAUGCGCAUGCACGUUAAUUGGUUAGAUCGUCUUCAACUCUUGAUUCGAUUUUGAACCCCUUUGAUUCGAUCAUGAUCAACCCCUUGAUCAAUCAUCAAUCAAAUGCUCAAAUUGUGUCAUGCAUCUCAUGCAUUGACAUCGAUCAACCAAUGAUACGCAAUCACAGAUUGCAACCCCAAAAUUAAUAUAUUAACAUGAUCAUCACUAGAUGCAUCUUAUGCAUAAUAAAAUUCUAGAUCUGAAAAUUUUAAUUUUAAUUAUUCUACCAACUGAAUAUCUGAUCAUGCAAGAUAUGAUUUUAAUUAUUUCAAUCUCAUUGCAACUAAAAUCAACAUGCAAGAUCAUAAGAAUAAAAAUCAGUAUGCUGAAAUUUCUGAAAUCUAAAAUUUCAGCACGCAGAAAAUUUCAACAAGCGUAAUAUUAAUAUUCAGUUCUAAUAGAGUACUAAUCAAGCCUAUUAAUCUUAAUCUAAAUUCCAAAAUCACGGCUCUGAUAUCACUGUCGGAUUAUCCUCACACGCGUUGCGACGAUCGCAGCAGAAACACAUGCGCAGGAUCGUUCAUUGUACAAACGUCCUAGGAAAUGCAUAUUUCAAAAAAAUUCUGAGUUCUCUAACUCAGAAAAUUAUAAAUCUAAAGGAUAGAUUAAUUUAAAGACCUGAUUAAUUUCAGAUCUACAAUUAAAAUUGUAAAGAUCAAAUCUUUACCUUUGAGUGGGCAGAUCUUCACCGCUAUCUGAUGAUCGUGGAAAUUGGGUUCGUUUGAAACUGCACAAGUGUCCGGCCUCAACGGGUAUCCACACGAAGAUCUAGAUCGAUCAAGGUCGUGAUCUCACCGGGGUGCUAGCUCCCUUGCAAAGAUCCCUUUUGAUGGUUAGAACUCCUCUAAGCAAUCAACUCUUGAUUGCUCUCAAGAGGAGGAAGAAGGAGAAAGAAGAAACACUUUCUAUUAUUUCCUUUGCCAUGGAAGAAGGAGGGAAGAGAGGAACACCUUCCUCUCUAUAUUUUCUUCUAUGCAGCUGACCAAGAGGAGGAAUAAGACUCCAACUUGCUGCCCUUUCUUUUUUCUUUCUGAUGGAUGAAGGAAGAGAGGGAUGGAGGCCGCCAACACCAAGAAAAGAGUCAUGAAACCCAAGGGGGGUCGGCCCCCUUUUAUUUCCUCUUUUCAUGAAGCCCUAGGCCUGGCCUCCUCCUUAAAAUUAGGAGGAGCCACGCCCCGAAACGGAUCUCACGUCCUGAACACCUAGGACGCAUGUCUAGACCAACCGAGAUGCGGAUCUCGAGAGUAUCCAAGGAAAGAAGGGCUCUUGCCCCUCCCUUCUAUGCCUAAUCAAAUUAGAAUUUGGGUGGCUCUUGGUUCAUUGAAUCCUAAUCUAAUUAGGACCUGAUUAGUCUUCCUAUUUGAUUAAAGAUCCUUAUCCAUAAGAUUAAAUCAAUUAUGACUCUUGGAGUCCUAAUCUGAUUAGGACCCAA